rnacentral:rRNA from 1 species
ACGGCUGAGUAACGCGUGGGUGACGUACCUGUUGGUGGGGAAUAACUGCCCGAAAGGGUGGCUAAUUCCGCAUAAGUCCUUCGGUUCAUACUGAAGGGGAAAGCUUCGCAAGAGGCGCCGAUGGAGCGGCCCGCGUCCGAUUAGCUUGUUGGUGGGGUAACGGCCUACCAAGGCGACGAUCGGUAGCUGGUCUGAGAGGAUGGUCAGCCACACUGGGACUGAGAUACGGCCCAG